UUUUUGUUGUUGCGUGAGGGAUAGCAGUGAAAAUCCUUUUUUGCCCCUCUUUUUGGGGCAAAAAAGAUUGUAACGAAUAGCCCGACCCGGA
rfam:Flavobacterium branchiophilum FL-15, complete genome.